rnacentral:rRNA from 1 species
AUGUGGUAUGGCUGGAGCAAGCCGUACGAGCCGCGAACGCCGCUCAUGGUGGCGGCGACGUACGGCAGCGCGCGAGUCGUCUUGCUGCUGUUCGGGCGCACUGGCCGGGUUGAUGUAGCUCAUCGGCCCGGCGACGACGACUUCACCCCACGCAGUGGCAAAGGAAAGAGGCGGGAGCCGCAGCGGGAACCAGGUGCUCAAGGCCCGCUGCCGCGGGAUGCCGUGGAAGGGACUCGCGGCAGCCGCUGGAGAGCGGAUCUACGUCGCCGGCGGCCACAUAGCGGAGGUUGUCCAUCUCGACGCGCUCGACGGCUACAGGGAAGAUGGCCACGAGAGCGCCCGAUAGGAAGGGAGCGGCGAGCACUUUUAGCCAGGCCGUGGCGGCGGAACUGUUGGGCGCGCAGGUACACCGCCGGCGAUCCUCCUCCGAACGACGUUAGAAGACACGAGGCCGAUGGUGUGUGGGGGAACGACGACCGGGAGGGAGAUAUUGCUAUGGGGGAGGAGUUUUUUUAG